rnacentral:rRNA from 1 species
UACGUAGGGGGCAAGCGUUGUCCGGAUUUAUUGGGCGUAAAGAGCGUGUAGGCGGCCUGAAAGGUCAGCUGUGAAAACUCGAGGCUCAACCUCGAGACGUCGGUUGAAACCAUCUGGCUAGAGUCCGGAAGAGGAGAGUGGAAUUCCCGGUGUAGCGGUGAAAUGCGCAGAUAUCAGGAGGAACACCGAAGGCGAAGGCAGUGUCCUGGCUGGUCCCUGACGCUGAGGGGCGAAAGCUAGGGGAGCGAACGGG